AAACUACUCCCUCCGUUCGGAAUUACUUGUCUCGAAAAUGGAUGUAUCUAGAUGUAUUUUAGUUCUAGAUAUAUCCAUUUCCGAGACAAGUAAUUCCGAACGGAGGGAGUACCAG
rnacentral:pre_miRNA from 1 species